AGUGAACGCUGGCGGUAGGCCUAACACAUGCAAGUCGAACGGCAGCACAGUAAGAGCUUGCUCUUACGGGUGGCGAGUGGCGGACGGGUGAGGAAUACAUCGGAAUCUACUUUUUCGUGGGGGAUAACGUAGGGAAACUUACGCUAGUACCGCAUACGACCUACGGGUGAAAGCAGGGGAUCUUCGGACCUUGCGCGAUUGAAUGAGCCGAUGUCGGAUUAGCUAGUUGGCGGGGUAAAGGCCCACCAAGGCGACGAUCCGUAGCUGGUCUGAGAGGAUGAUCAGCCACACUGGAACUGAGACACGGUCCAGACUCCUACGGGAGGCAGCAGUGGGGAAUAUUGGACAAUGGGCGCAAGCCUGAUCCAGGCAUACCGCGUGGGUGAAGAAGGCCUUCGGGUUGUAAAGCCCUUUUGUUGGGAAAGAAAAGCAGCAGGUUAAUACCCCGCUGUUCUGACGGUACCCAAAGAAUAAGCACCGGCUAACUUCGUG
rnacentral:rRNA from 1 species